rnacentral:lncRNA from 1 species
ACAGUCACCGGCAUGCUGCUAGGGGAAGGAUAUCUGCAGAUCGUCGCUUUCGGCACCUUGGUACGAAUCCCUCCUCUGCACCAAGUUUUAAUGAAGAACCCAGAGUGUGUUCAUUCCCUGCCUUGUGCAGGGAAAUGUCUUCCCCUUUUUUGUCCUCUUCUGUGUAGUUAUUGCGUCUUUGACAGCUGAUAGCCCCUCCGCAGGGAUUUCUUUUGUUCCAUUUUUGGAAGACUUUUGGCAACCUCGUGCUUCCAAAAAUUUGGGUGAAAAGUGUGGGUUGAUUAUUUACACAAAAGUCAGACAUAUCACAAUUAAAUCAUAAUUUCUUUCUGAUUACUUCGAUUUGACAGUUUGAUGUUCAGAAGGCGUGGAUGAGGCAUCUGGGAUUGAUGAGCAAUGCAGCAUGCUCUCAGUUUGUAUUAUUAGUGGGGCAGGUGAUGCUUAGAGCUGAUUGGUGAGCACUGCAGCGUGCUCUCAGUUUGUAUUAUUAGUGGGGCAGGUGAUGUUUAGAGCUGAUCGCUGAACACUGAAGCGUGCUCUCAGAUUGUAUUAUUAGUGGGGCAGGUGAUGUUUAGAGCUGAUCGCUGAACACUGAAGCGUGCUCUCAGAUUGUAUUAUUAGUGGGGCAGGUGAUGUUUAGAGCUGAUCGCUGAACACUGAAGCAUGCUCUCAGAUUGUAUUAUUAGUGGGGCAGGUGAUGCUUAGAGCUGAUUGGUGAACAGUGAAGCGUGCUCUCGGAUUGUAUUAUUAGUGGGGCAGGUGAUGCUUAGAGCUGAUUGGUGAACAGUGAAGCGUGCUCUCGGAUUGUAUUAUUAGUGGGGCAGGUGAUGCUUAGAGCUGAUUGGUGAACAGUGAAGCGUGCUCUCGGAUUGUAUUAUUAGUGGGGCAGGCGAUGCUUAGAGCUGAUUGGUGAUCACUGAAGUGUGCUCUCGGAUUGUAUUAUUAGUGGGGCAGGUGAUGCUUAGAGCUGAUUGGUGAACACUGCAGCGUGCUCUCAGGUUGUAUUAUUAGUGGGGCAGGCGAUGCUUAGAGCUGAUUGGUGAACACUGAAGCAUGCUCUCAGAUUGUAUUAUUAGUGGGGCAGGCGAUGCUUAGAGCUGAUUGGUGAACACUGAAGCGUGCUCUCAGAUUGUAUUAUUAGUGGGGCAGGUGAUGUUUAGAGCUGAUUGGUGAACACUGAAGCGUGCUCUCAGAUUGUAUUAUUAGUGGGGCAG